rnacentral:tRNA from 1 species
GGAAGUGUGCCCGAAUAACAAAGGGCUACUUUGAUAGAGUACGACACAGGGGUUUAAACCCCCUCACUUCC